rnacentral:tRNA from 1 species
GACGCUGCCCUCUCACGGCAGAAACAGGGGUUCGAUUCCCCUACGGACUA